rnacentral:rRNA from 1 species
ACGAACGCUGGCGGCACGCUUAACACAUGCAAGUCGAACGAGAGAAGAGGAGCUUGCUUUUCUGAUCUAGUGGCGGACGGGUGAGUAACACGUGAGCAAUCUGCCUUUCAGAGGGGGAUACCGAUUGGAAACGAUCGUUAAUACCGCAUAACAUAAUUGAACCGCAUGAUUUGAUUAUCAAAGAUUUAUCGCUGAAAGAUGAGCUCGCGUCUGAUUAGCUAGUUGGUAAGGUAACGGCUUACCAAGGCGACGAUCAGUAGCCGGACUGAGAGGUUGAUCGGCCACAUUGGGACUGAGACACGGCCCAGACUCCUACGGGAGGCAGCAGUGGGGAAUAUUGCACAAUGGAGGAAACUCUGAUGCAGCGAUGCCGCGUGAGGGAAGAAGGUUUUAGGAUUGUAAACCUCUGUCUUCAGGGACGAAAAAAGACGGUACCUGAGGAGGAAGCUCCGGCUAACUACGUGCCAGCAGCCGCGGUAAUACGUAGGGAGCGAGCGUUGUCCGGAAUUACUGGGUGUAAAGGGAGCGUAGGCGGGAUCGCAAGUCAGAUGUGAAAACUAUGGGCUUAACCCAUAAACUGCAUUUGAAACUGUGGUUCUUGAGUGAAGUAGAGGUAAGCGGAAUUCCUAGUGUAGCGGUGAAAUGCGUAGAUAUUAGGAGGAACAUCAGUGGCGAAGGCGGCUUACUGGGCUUUAACUGACGCUGAGGCUCGAAAGCGUGGGGAGCAAACAGGAUUAGAUACCCUGGUAGUCCACGCCGUAAACGAUGAUUACUAGGUGUGGGGGGACUGACCCCUUCCGUGCCGCAGCAAACGCAAUAAGUAAUCCACCUGGGGAGUACGACCGCAAGGUUGAAACUCAAAGGAAUUGACGGGGGCCCGCACAAGCAGUGGAGUAUGUGGAUUAAUUCGAAGCAACGCGAAGAACCUUACCAGGUCUUGACAUCGUAUGCAUAGCUCAGAGAUGAGUGAAAUCUCUUCGGAGACAUAUAGACAGGUGGUGCAUGGUUGUCGUCAGCUCGUGUCGUGAGAUGUUGGGUUAAGUCCCGCAACGAGCGCAACCCUUACUGUUAGUUGCUACGCAAGAGCACUCUAGCAGGACUGCCGUUGACAAAACGGAGGAAGGUGGGGAUGACGUCAAAUCAUCAUGCCCCUUAUGACCUGGGCCUCACACGUACUACAAUGGCUGUCAACAGAGGGAAGCAAAGCCGCGAGGUGGAGCAAACCCCUAAAAGCAGUCUUAGUUCGGAUUGUAGGCUGCAACCCGCCUACAUGAAGUCGGAAUUGCUAGUAAUCGCAGAUCAGCAUGCUGCGGUGAAUACGUUCCCGGGCCUUGUACACACCGCCCGUCACGCCGUGGGAGUCGGUAACACCCGAAGCCUGUAGUCUAACCGCAAGGAGGACGCAGUCGAAGGUGGGAUUGAUGACUGGGGUG